rnacentral:rRNA from 1 species
AUUGAACGCUGGCGGCAUGCCUUACACAUGCAAGUCGAACGGUAACAGGUCUUCGGAUGCUGACGAGUGGCGAACGGGUGAGUAAUACAUCGGAACGUGCCUGGUAGUGGGGGAUAACUACUCGAAAGAGUGGCUAAUACCGCAUGAGAUCCACGGAUGAAAGCAGGGGAUCGCAAGACCUUGUGCUACUAGAGCGGCCGAUGGCAGAUUAGGUAGUUGGUGGGAUAAAAGCUUACCAAGCCGACGAUCUGUAGCUGGUCUGAGAGGACGAUCAGCCACACUGGGACUGGGACACGGCCCAGACUCCUACGGGAGGCAGCAGUGGGGAAUUUUGGACAAUGGGCGAAAGCCUGAUCCAGCAAUGCCGCGUGCAGGAUGAAGGCCUUCGGGUUGUAACUGCUUUUGUACGGAACGAAAAGCCCUGGGUUAAUACCCUGGGGUCAUGACGGUACCGUAAGAAUAAGCACCGGCUAACUACGUGCCAGCCGCCGCGGUAAAAC